rnacentral:tRNA from 1 species
GCGCUCGUAGCUCAAUCGGUCAGAGCAAUCCGCUCAUAACGGAUAGGUUAUAGGUUCAAGCCCUAUCGAGCGUA